rnacentral:SRP_RNA from 1 species
GCUGGGCAUGGUGGCGGGCGCCUGUAAUCCCAGCUACUCAGGAGGCUGAGGCAGGAGAAUUGCUUGAAUCCAGGAGAUCAAGGCUGCAGCGAGCCACGAUCGCACCACUGCACUCCAGCCUGGGUGACAGAGCAAGACCCUGUCUCAA